rnacentral:rRNA from 1 species
AACGCUAGCUACAGGCUUAACACAUGCAAGUCGAGGGGUCUGCUUCGGCAGACGACCGGCGCACGGGUGAGUAACGCGUAUCCAACCUGCCCUUCAUAUUGGUAUAGCCUCCCGAAAGGGAGAUUAAUCCCGAAUAAGAUACCAAAGUUGCCUGAUUUUGGUAUGAAAGCUCCGGCGAUGAAGGAUGGGGAUGCGUUCCAUUAGGUAGUAGGCGGGGUAACGGCCCACCUAGCCAACGAUGGAUAGGGGUUCUGAGAGGAAGGUCCCCCACACUGGAACUGAGACACGGUCCAGACUCCUACGGGAGGCAGCAGUGAGGAAUAUUGGUCAAUGGGCGCAAGCCUGAACCAGCCAAGUAGCGUGAAGGAAGACUGCCCUAUGGGUUGUAAACUUCUUUUUUACGGGAACAACCACAUCUACGUGUAGAUGUCUGCGUGUACCGUACGAAUAAGCAUCGGCUAACUCCGUGCCAGCAGCCGCGGUAAUACGGAGGAUGCGAGCGUUAUCCGGAUUUAUUGGGUUUAAAGGGAGCGUAGGUGGUUUGUUAAGCCAGCUGUGAAAUACUGUAGCUCAACUACAGCCGUGCAGUUGGAACUGGCAGACUUGAGUGCACUAGAGGAAGGUGGAAUUCGUGGUGUAGCGGUGAAAUGUUUAGAUAUCACGAAGAACUCCGAUUGCGAAGGCAGCCUUCUGGAGUGUAACUGACACUGAUGCUCGAAAGUGUGGGUAUCGAACAGGAUUAGAUACCCUGGUAGUCCACACAGUAAACGAUGGAUACUCGCUGCCGGCGAUACAAUGUCGGUGGCUUAGCGAAAGCGUUAAGUAUCCCACCUGGGGAGUACGCCGGCAACGGUGAAACUCAAAGGAAUUGACGGGGGCCCGCACAAGCGGAGGAACAUGUGGUUUAAUUCGAUGAUACGCGAGGAACCUUACCCAGGCUCGAACGGCAGAUUGAAGGUAGUCAGAGAUGACGUCCGUCUUCGGACAAUUUGUCGAGGUGCUGCAUGGUUGUCGUCAGCUCGUGCCGUGAGGUGUCGGCUUAAGUGC